GGAACAAGUGAUGGGACAAGAGGAAAUGGCCUCAAGCUGCACCAGAGGAGGUUUAGAUGGAGAUGAGGAACAAUUCCUUCCCCAGAGGGUGCUCAGGCAUUGGAACAGGCUGCCCAGGGCAGUGCUGGAGUCACCGUCCCUGCAAGUGUUCAAAACCGUGUAGAUGAGGCUCUUGGUGACAUGGUUUUAGUGGUGGCCUUGGCAGUGCUGGGGAACGGUUGGACUUGAUGAUCUUGAAGGUUAUUUCCAACCUUGUUGAUUCUGAUUCUAUGCUGCCACCACCCAACAGGUUUUAUUAGGUGUUUGCUGCCUCUGUCCCUCUUUGAACGGUAGGUGGAGUAAGUCACCUGAGAGGCAGACAGAAGCUGUUAGCCUUCCUCGUUCCAUAGUUUUACUGUCAUUAUUUGCCUCUGGCAACCCUGGUCAUGUCAUGGGACACCUCAACAUAAUUUUCAUUAGAUCAGUAGGAUGCUGUAAUGGUUCAGGUGGAGGAGAUUACAAAACCCAGACCUGAGCUGGGUUUUAUGAUAGUCUUCAACUUAUAAUUAAACUUACCUGUCCACUCAUGCACCUUUAUAUCAUAAGUAUACACAUGCAAAACCAAGAGUGAAGAAAACAUCAGAAGGUUUUCUCCUUAAAAGUUGCUGCUCUUUUUUUAGCCUUCAAUCUGACCUGUGUUGGCACCUUUGGAAUUUUAAAGGGCAGCAUAUUUUUUGUGUCUACCAGAGUAACUCUUUAUUGUUACUUUCUUUGGCCAGUUAAUUCAGAAGUUUUAUAGAAGAGAGUCCCUCCAAGAGGAGUUCAGCAAUGUAGUGCUAGGCUUCUCACAAUUGCUUGCUUUCCCCCUUUGUGUUCUGAAGUCCAGAUCUAUAGGUGCUUAAGUUUCUUUUCAGAGAGGUUUGUUUUAUAAGAACUGGCCAUCUGGCACAGAAGCCUGUAGGAUCACUUUUUUCUUACCCAUAGAGUGUAAUGGUUUAUAAUAUUGAGAUACUUGUGCUAUAUGUAGCAUUCACUGGGAAGAGAUGCUGCACAGUGUUUCAUAGCCUAUUUGGUCAGCAUUUUCUGUGUCUAGAUGGAGCAUUAUUGCUAAGAAGAAGUUCUUGAGUUGAACAGAGCCUGCUGUUUAUGAGUCUCACAACUUGAGAACACAGGUCAGAAGGUCAGAGAGAACUUGUGACUUUGAAGUAGUGUAAGCAAUCUGUGUAGGCCCAAUCUUGGUGUUUGGGCAGUAAAUUUGCCCAGAGGAGCUACUGGAGAGCAGAGGCUGAUACAGCACUAGACAGAUCACAGUUUAUGACAUAUUGUAAUGCUGGGAGUCUGAGACCCAACAUCCUCACUAGUUCAGUAAAGUGUGACAACCUUAACCCACAGUUUUUUGCUAGAGUAGCUUUGUAUACUAAGCAGCCUGCACUGUUAACUUUUUUGUGUUGUGCGGGCACUGGGAUACCUACCCCCAAGAUGGGAAUUCCUUCCUUUGUAGUGGGAUUAUGCUGGAGGAGAGGCUUUCCCAUGGUGCUGAUUAGUCAGACCUUAAUACUGUCUCAGGUUAGGUAGGUUUGGGAUUCUGCUACCUGGAGACCUCACAAGUGAUAGUUGAAUACAGCUAGGAGUGAAGGAGAGUGACAGGUCAUGUGAGGAGAAUUAGCUGGGAAGAGUAACAAGAAACACUUCAGGACAGGGGUAAGUGAAAACAGGAUAGUAGCCGUUGGGUGUAAAUACCCUUCUUGCUGCUUGUGUUGACUUGAAACUUCUCCUUUCAGAGCUAGCAUUGGCUCCGGGAUGUCCUACUGGGGACACCAGUUUCAUCAUUUCUUCUUAAUGACAACUUCCUUCAGUAUUACUAUUUUAGUGAUGAAACAUUUCUUUGGAUCCAUAUAAAAUGGGGCAUGCUUCAGUUUUCUUUUGGACUCAGCUUUUCUAUGAAAUGGCAUGCCACUAAAAUCAUUAACAUUUGUAAAGCCCUCUUCUGGAUAAUGCUGUAUAAUUUGCUAUAUCUUAAUUUGUCAGCUUCCCUUUAGAAAAAUAGGAAGAUUAGAAUUAUUUGAUGCAAUUUUUGUCACACAACUUCUGGUGAAGUGAUACUUCAGCCUUCUAAAAGGAUUUUACUACCUGGCUCUUCUUGAUAGGCUGAAGAGAAUAGAAUAGGGAAGUCAUUUGAUAAGUCUUUUUUAAACUGCUUCCUCUGAAAACAAAGCUAGUGCUUUUCAUUUAGAGACUGGGAAAGUGCUGUUCAGAGACUUCCUAACACACUGGAAACUUAGGAGCUCUAUGUUAAAGGAGGGACACGGAUGACUCAGUGUUCAGGUCAGGGUGCUGAGUGAAGAACAUGUCCACACCUCUCCUGAGACACCUCAUUAACAUGGAGCAGGUUGUAGCUGGUUGCCACCUUUGAAGGUGGCUUUAAGGGUUGCAGUCACAUGCUCAUCUACUCACAGUGCACGAUCCGUGCCAGGGUUUCCAGACUCUAUGGAUGUACUGAGAUUAGCAAAAUACCCUUUGCAGAGCCAUGGGGAAUGCAGUUGAGCUGUACAUUUUCCAGCCUAUUUCAGCUAAGCGCUUAAAAACAGAUUGCAAGAGCAUGUUUUUGUUGUCUUGAGAAAAAGGGGAAAGCGAGGAACAAACCUACUUUUCCUAGUGUUUUAAUGGAAGUGAUUGAGCUAAAACUCUUGUUUCCCAG
rnacentral:lncRNA from 1 species